rnacentral:rRNA from 1 species
UGGGGAAUAUUGCGCAAUGGGCGAAAGCCUGACGCAGCAACGCCGCGUGAGUGAUGAAGGCCUUCGGGUCGUAAAGCUCUGUCGGAGGGAACGAAUGCUCCUGAAGUUAACAGCCUCAGGAGGUGACGGUACCCUCAAAGGAAGCACCGGCUAACUCUGUGCCAGCAGCCGCGGUAAUACAGAGGGUGCAAGCGUUGUUCGGAAUUACUGGGCGUAAAGGGCUCGUAGGCGGCCAACUAAGUCAGACGUGAAAUCCCUCGGCUUAACCGGGGAACUGCGUCUGAUACUGGAUGGCUUGAGGUUGGGAGAGGGAUGCGGAAUUCCAGGUGUAGCGGUGAAAUGCGUAGAUAUCUGGAGGAACACCGGUGGCGAAGGCGACAUCCUGGACCAAUUCUGACGCUGAGGAGCGAAAGCCAGGGGAGCAAACGGGAUUAGAUACCCACGUAGUCCCUGAGCGGGCUGGCAAGGCGCAU